rnacentral:rRNA from 1 species
CAGUAGCCGCGGUAAUACGGAGGGUGCAAGCGUUAAUCGGAAUUACUGGGCGUAAAGCGCACGCAGGCGGCUUCUUAAGUCGGAUGUGAAAUCCCUGAGCUUAACUUAGGAAUUGCAUUCGAUACUGGGAAGCUAGAGUAUGGGAGAGGAUGGUAGAAUUCCAGGUGUAGCGGUGAAAUGCGUAGAGAUCUGGAGGAAUACCGAUGGCGAAGGCAGCCAUCUGGCCUAAUACUGACGCUGAGGUACGAAAGCAUGGGGAGCAAACAGGAUUAGAUACCCGAGUAGUCCCUGUCUCUUAUAC